rnacentral:rRNA from 1 species
CCCUUAGAUGUCCUGGGCCGCACGCGCGUUACACUGAUGCAUUCAACGAGCUUAUAACCUUGGCCGAGAGGCCUGGGCAAUCUUGUUAACGUGCAUCGUGAUAGGGAUAGAUUAUUGAAAUUAUAAAUCUUGAACGAGGAAUUCCUAGUAAACGCAGAUCAUCAAUCUGCAUUGAUUACGUCCCUGCCCUUUGUACACACCGCCCGUCGCACCUACCGAUUGGAUGGUCCGGUGAAGCCUCGGGAUUGUGGUUCUUGCCGCUUUAUUGUGGCGUGACCGCGAGAACUUGUCUAAACCUUAUCAUCUAGAGGAAGGUGAAGUCGUAACA